UCCUUCAGUUUUUGCUUGUUUGGGACACGGAUGAUAAACACAUUAAGUUUCUGAGCACUCGAAAUGACCAGUGUUACAAGAUCCCAACAGCUCCUAAUGGGUUUUUUAAUUAAAAGGUGAGGCAGGAAGGCACAAGGGCAGCAUUCCAGGUGAAGAGCAGAGAGGAAGACAAGGAGUCGCUUUCACACAGUGAAAGAGAAAAGUCUGUGCUGGUCAGAUGACUCGGUGGAUAAAGAUGUUUGUUACCAACCCUGAUGACCUGAGUUCCACCCUGAAGCCCCACGUAGUAGGAGACAACUGAGAGCCUCUGACUUCCACAUGCAUGCACUUUGCAGUAAGUAUGCAACACCCCACCCUACCAAUGAGAGAAUGGAUGAAUAAAUAAAUAAAUAAAUAAA